AGCUAGUUGGUAGGGUAAGAGCCUACCAAGGCGACGAUGGAUAGCCGGCCUGAGAGGGUGAUCGGCCACACUGGGACUGAGACACGGCCCAGACUCCUACGGGAGGCAGCAGCUAAGAAUCUCCCGCAAUGGGCGAAAGCCUGACGGAGCGACGCCGCGUGGACGAAGAAGGCCGAAAGGUUGUAAAGUCCUUUUCUUAGGGAAGAAUAAUGUAAAGAAUGGAAUGCUUUACAGAUGACAUUAACUGAGGAAUAAGCCCCGGCCAAUUACGUGCCAGCAGCCGCGGUAAUACGUAUGGGGCGAGCGUUGUUCGGAAUUAUUGGGCGUAAAGGGCGUGUAGGCGGUUUUAUAAGCCUGGUGUGAAAUCCCACAGCUCAACUGUGGAGACGCGCUGGGAACUGUAAGACUAGAGUUCAGGAGGGGAUGCUGGAAUUCCUGGUGUAGGGGUGAAAUCUGUAGAUAUCAGGAAGAACACCGAUGGCGAAGGCAAGCAUCUGGCCAUGGACUGACGCUGAGGCGCGAAAGCGUGGGGAGCGAACAGGAUUAGAUACCCUGGUAGUCCACGCUGUAAACGAUGUGCACUGGGUGUAGGAGGCGUUGAGCUUUCUGUGCCGUAGCUAACGCGUUAAGUGCACCGCCUGGGGAGUAUGCUCGCAAGGGUGAAACUCAAAGGAAUUGACGGGGGCCCGCACAAGCGGUGGAGCAUGUGGUUUAAUUCGAUACGCGAGGAACCUUACCAGGGCUUGACAUGUACUUGAAGGCUUAAGAGAUUAAGUCGACCUUUAGGGGACGGGUACACAGGUGCUGCAUGGUUGUCGUCAGCUCGUGUCGUGAGAUGUUGGGUUAAGUCCCGCAACGAGCGCAACCCUUACUGUCUGUUGCCAGCAGGCCUUCGGGCGCUGGGGACUCAGGCAGAACUGCCGGUGACAAACCGGAGGAAGGUGGGGAUGACGUCAAAUCAUCAUGGCCCUUAUGUCCUGGGCUACACACGUGCUACAAUGGCCGGUACAAAGCGUUGCAAGACGGUGACGUCCUUAGCAAAUCGCAAAAAGCCGGUCUCAGUUCGGAUUGGAGUCUGAAACCCGACUCCAUGAAGUUGGAAUCGCUAGUAAUCGCGCAUCAGAAUGGCGCGGUGAAUAUGUUCCCGGGCCUUGUACACACCGCCCGUCACACCACCCGAGUUGGGGGUACCCGAAGUCGCUAGUCUAACUUUUAGAGGACGGUGCCGAAGGUAUGCCUGGUAAGGGGGGUGAAGUCGUAACAAGGUAGCCGUACCGGAAGGUGCGGCUG
rnacentral:rRNA from 1 species